rnacentral:lncRNA from 1 species
AUGAAAAAUGCAAUGCUUGAUUCAAUGCGAGGAAGAUGUUUAUUAUUUGGUGUAUAUACAGAAUUUCGACUUAAACACACAGCCCAGUUUCCUGCUCUUUUUGAAUGCUUUAACAUAGUUGCAAGCCACAAACAAUUCUGCAGUGUUUGCCAUAGACACAGGAAGAACUGCUCUCCGCCACCCCAAAGUCCUCUAUGAAAUGGAAUAAGGAAACAAGUGACUGAAGGUUUCUCAGUCAACCUUGCUUCUCAGAAGGAGCAACAAAAGUCU